UAGGGAAUAUUAGUAAUGGGCGAAAGCCUGAACUAGCAACGCCGCGUGUGCGAAGAAGGCCUUCGGGUUGUAAAGCACUUUUUGAGAGGAUGAGGAACGACGGUACUCUCAGAAUAAGUCUCAGCUAACUACGUGCCAGCAGCCGCGGUAACACGUAGGAGGCAAACGUUAUCCGGAUUUACUGGGCGUAAAGCGCGUGUAGGUGGUUUGGUAAGUAGGGCGUGAAAGCUCCUGGCUCAACUGGGAGAGGACGUUCUAAACUGCCAAGUUGGAGGAGGGUGGAGGGGGGUGGAAUUCCGGGUG
rnacentral:rRNA from 1 species